GAGUUUGAUCGUGGCUCAGGACAAACGCUGGCGGGUGCAUGAGACAUGCAAGUCGAACGGGGUUGAGCGGGCUUGCUCGAUCAACCUAGUGGCGGACGGCUGAGUAACGCGUAGGUGACCUGUCCGGAAGUGGGGAAUAACUGCCCGAAAGGGUGGCUAAUACCGCAUGUGGUCGGCGAUUCGGUUCGCCGUGCAAAGCCGCAAGGCGCUUCCGGAGGGGCCUGCGUCCGAUUAGCUAGUUGGUGGGGUAACGGCUCACCAAGGCGACGAUCGGUAGCUGGUCUGAGAGGAUGAUCAGCCAGACUGGGACUGAGAACGGCCCAGACUCCUACGGGAGGCAGCAGUCGGGAAUUUUGCCCAAUGGACGAAAGUCUCGAGGCAGCAACUCCGCGUGAGGGACGAAGGCCUUCGGUCGUAAACCUCUUUUCUCAGGGAGAUACGAAGACGGUACCUGAGGAAUAAGACCACGGCUAACUACGUGCCAGCAGCCGCAGU
rnacentral:rRNA from 1 species